UGACAUUCAGCCUGCUGCCCAAGAA
rnacentral:piRNA from 1 species